CCAUUUUAUGUAAAAAAAAAUUUUAGUGAACAGAAUCACUUCCUCUGUGAGUUUGCGGAAGGAAGAUAACAUUACACUGGAGCCCCAUGACAAAUUUCUUUUUCUAUUACAAUGGCUUUUUAUUUCAUUUUAUUUUUUCCCUUAACUACUCAUCUGAUCGCUACAGUGUCUUUUGCUGAAAUCCAGCCCAAGAAUCUGUCUGUACAAGCAGGGGAGCUUGUUGAGCUUGUUCAGAGAGAAAAGCUUCCAGAGUUUUUGCAGCUAAUCUGGAUGAUAACACCAUUUGGCACAAAUGAUGCAGAAACCAUUGUAACAUACAAUAAUGAAAGAAUCGAUCCUAGAGAUUCUUACAAGGACAGAGUGGUGUUUAAUACUACAACCUUCUCUCUAACACUGAAGAACAUGCAGAAGACAGACAGCGGACUCUACUGCACAACAACCAUAGGACAUGAAACUAAAGACUUUUGUCAGUACAAUGUUUUUGUUGUUGAAAACCAUGGAUCACCCACUAACAUUUUUCUGCCUUGGAUAUUGCUUACUUCUACAAUCAGCACAAUAAUAAUGUUCUAAAUUGUGCUAGUACUAAAAUAAAAACAAAAUUAGCAGGAUGAGACUCAAACAAGGAUAAUGAAGGAGAUGGAGAAGGAGAUCUUAUAAUAAAUUAAUACUGCUUUACUGUAGUAACAAUAAAUUAAAUAAAUAAAUAUUCUAUGAUUUGAUUAAUAUCAUUUUAAAUAUGAUGGUUUCAUUAUGAAUAUGGUCAUUAUCUCUAAGGUGGACACCCAACUUGAUGAUAUUGACCAUCUGAAUUUACCCAUUUUACCCAUUUUAUGCCAACAAAUGGAAAAGAUAGCCAGCUAUUUAUUACAAAUCUGUAACUUUUCCAAAAAAAAAAAAAAAAAAUAUUGCAGGUUUCCCGAACAUCCCCUGUCACUGGUCAGACAAACAGAUUGUCUUGUCCCAAACUCUCACCAUUAAUAGUUUUAAAUGACAAAACUGGACCUACUGUAAUUUUACUUUAAAAUAAAUAAAUAAACAGCCUAAUAACUGCA